rnacentral:rRNA from 1 species
CGUAUAUUAAAGUUGUUGCAGUUAAAAAGCUCGUAGUUGAACCUUGGGUCUGGCUGGUGGGUCCGCCUCACCGCCUGCACUUGUCCGGCUGGACCUUUCCUUCUGGAGAACCUCAUGCCCUUUACUGGGUGUGUUGGGGAACCAGGACUUUUACUUUGAAAAAAUUAGAGUGUUCAAAGCAGGCCUUUGCUCGAAUACGUUAGCAUGGAAUAAUGGAAUAGGACGUGCGAUCCUAUUUUGUUGGUUUCUAGGAUCGCCGUAAUGAUUAAUAGGGAUAGUCGGGGGCAUCAGUAUUCAAUUGUCAGAGGUGAAAUUCUUGGAUUUAUUGAAGACUAACUACUGCGAAAGCAUUUGCCAAGGAUGUUUUCAUUAAUCAGUGAACGAAAGUUAGGGGAUCGAAGACGAUCAGAUACCGUCGUAGUCUUAACCGUAAACUAUGCCGACUAGGGAUCGGGCGAUGUUUCUAUCAUGACUCGCUCGGCACCUUACGAGAAAUCAAAGUUUUUGGGUUCUGGGGGGAGUAUGGUCGCAAGGCUGAAACUUAA